UUUCUUUAUAACAGUUGUUGUUUCUUCUCGAGCAAAGCUUUUUUUUUUUUGAGAAAAAUAAUAUUUUGUUGUGAGAAACUUAUAUGUUGCAUCACUUGCUUCAUAGCACUUAGUGUUCUUUUGGAGGAUGUUCCGGCUGUGACAGGGGUUAUUACCAGAGUGGGGGACGAGGGAAGAAGGGCAAGUCAAAUGACGGAGCCAUCUUGAUCAUGAAGAGGUUUACGAGCACCUUCUCCAGCAAAGCUCUGCGGAUUGUUUUACUGAGAGGAUCCCUUCCUCUUCGAGCCUUAUCUAUAAGAUUGAUAUGAAGAAAGCGUAUCGUUUCGUGUCAAAAAUUGACGUCGGUCCGGUAAUAAAUUUCAAUGUGUAGAAGCAAACCAAACAUUGCAUCCUGUCCAUAUAUAGGAAAUUUUAUGGGCAAACCAAACGACAGAGCCAUAUCGGAAGUGAUCAAAAUUAUUGAUAAGAAGGAAUCAGAUAUCAAGGAGAUGUUGGGAUUGUGAAAGCCCAUAUCCAACUCUAUUUAUCUGAUUAGUACGAUAUUGUCUACUUUGGGCCUU